UCUUCUCUGGGGGCAGGGCACUAGAGCAGACGCACAAUCGCUUUAACAGAGUCCAUAGCUGAAGAGAACCCCACACCCAGAGAAGAGGGAUCAUGGUAAGCGCAUUCUGGGGAACAAGAGUAAUGGAGAUAGUGAAGAAGCACGACUCAGGAGGUCUAGUCUGGAAGAGAAUAAAACUGACCACUACCCGUAAAGCCAACGCCAAGAAGCGACUCCUCAGGGUUUGGCAGAAUGAAGCUGUCUUGAAGGCAUGUGCUGAGCCACCGCCUUCAAAAACUUCUGUAGCUGAUGCUGUUGGUGUUGCAGAGAAAGCUGGCAUCAACAGCCAAACUUAACUUGCGAAAUGAGUGAGAAUAGGUCUCAAGGAUGUCAUGUGGUUGCAAAUUUGGUGAACACAGUGUUCAUUCCUGUGUCUGUCUGGGAUUAUUUGCGUUUUAGGCUCUGAUUUUAGUUUGUCUAUCGGACCGACUCCAAUGUAAAAGGGUUUCUAGAUUCUAUAAGAUUCUUUUUAACAUAGAUGGAACUUCAGGUUUUUUUCCCCCCUUUUUUAAGCUCUUGAGCAAAAAUCUAUAUUGACCUUUGUGUGUUGGUAGCUUGUGCAAUCUGCUUCAUACCAUUAAUAUUAUGCUGUUUGAUUACUCAGUAUCUUGUUUAGAUGACUCCUUAAUUUCCUAUAAAUGCAAAAAGUUUUUUCUUCAGGAGAGUAUGCAACCAUGAGUUUUCUGAAGUAAUUAAAACAUGGCAUACCAUGAUCUAUUCUUGUUUAGGUAAAAUGACAGUGUAUUGAAAGGUUUUGUAGUGAUAAUGCUUGAGAAGAACUAAGUUUUCUUGUUUGCUGAAUAUAGCUUGAUGAAAGGUUUUGUAGUGAUAAUGCUUGAGAAGAACUAA
rnacentral:misc_RNA from 1 species